ACAGGCACAGCCGGUUUGAGC
rnacentral:miRNA from 1 species